AUGGCGCACCACCCGCGUCGCCGGAACGCGACGGACGCUGUUGAAAUACGUCACGAGACGAAAGCAAUCAACCCUCCACCCCCGCGUCCAGAUCGACGUUCCGCUGAUCUGGUCUGUGUCACUUGCGACCGAGGCCUCGCCGUGCGGCCACGUUUGCGCCACCUACAGCCCGGGAGGGUGAGCGUUAUGGCGGCUUCUUUCUCCCUCCCGGUGACCCAAGACUUGUUCGCGCUGCGUGCCAAGUUGCAGGAGCUGCUGCAGUUCCUGCGGGAAGCCUUGUCCAUCUCCAACGCACACACGGUGGACUUUUACACGGAGUCCGUGUGGGAGCAGCUGAUCGGUUUACCCCCUGAGGCCGUGCUGGGGGUCCUGAGGAAGUCAGCGGCGGAGGCCGAGGCCGAGGCCGAGGCCUCGGCCCGGGUCUCAGAGGCGCGCCUCCUGUCGGAAGCCGAGAGUCCCUCAGGUAUUACCAAUUUUCCCAAAAUAUUUUGUGAAACUUCCCAGAAGCUGAUAAGUGUGGAAGCCUUUGCUCGGGCUGUGAGAUAUUAUUCUGUAAAAAACUUAGGAAUAUGUACUCCUUUUGAACAGUUGCUUACAGCCCUUCGAGGAAGUCAAAAACAGAGAACUGGUGAAAAUGUGAAACUAGAUGAAUUUAUGAAUUUGAAAAAAUCUCAUGAAGUUCAGGCUAUGUCAGAGCUGAUCAGUGGUAUUGCUGAUUACUGUGGAAUAAAGCAAGUAAUUGACCUGGGUUCUGGGAAAGGCUACCUAAGCUCUUUUUUGUCCUUGAAGUAUGGCUUAAAAGUUUAUGGAAUUGAUUCAUCAAAUACCAAUACUCAUGGAGCUGAGGAGAGAAACAGGAAAUUGAAGAAACAUUGGAAAGCCUACCAUACUCGGUCAAAAUUAGAUGCUAAUGGACUGGCAUUAAAAAUGGCAAAAGAUAGGAAAGUACAAGAUGAAGUUAAAUAUAAAGUAGAUAUUGAGGGACUAUGUAACAGCAGUCCUGCGAAUCAAGAAAAGAUGUCUACUUCAGAUUUUUUGCCGGAUUUUUCGGAUUCUGUAAUUUCUAACAUUAGAGUACAAAUGGAAAACCUACACGUGUAUUCACAUCGAGAAGAAAACUUGUGUUUUGAAAAUGCCUUUUCUCUUAUAGACCUUUUGCCUAUUAAUGCUGUAGAACCUACUUCAUUUCAAACACCUAAGAGAAAAAUGUCUGAAGCAAAUAAAGAGAGAAGAAAAAUGACAUCAAAGUCAAAUGAAUCAAAUAUAUAUUCACCUUUAACAUCUUUUAUCACUGCUGAUUCGGAACUGCGUGAUAUUAUUAAAGAUCUGGAGGAUUGUUUGAUGGUAGGUUUACAUACUUGCGGUGAUCUUGCUCCAAAUACUCUGCGAAUAUUUGCUUCCAAAUCUGAAAUCAAGGGAGUUUGCAGUGUGGGUUGUUGCUACCACCUCUUAUCUGAAGAGUUUGAAAACCCGCAUAAAGAAAGUACCCAAGAAAAGUGGGGAUUUCCAAUGUGCCAGUAUUUAAAGGAAGAGAGAUGGUGCUGUGGUCGUAAUGCCAGAAUGUCAGCAUGUUUGGCUUUGGAACGGGUUGCAGUUGGCCAAGGGCUGUCUACUCAAUCACUCUUCUAUCGAGCCGUCCUUCAAGAUAUUAUUAAAGAAUGUUAUGGCAUCACCAAAUGUGAUCGGCACGUUGGUAAAAUUUAUUCCAAAUCCUCUUCCUUUCUGGACUAUGUCCGAAAGUCUCUUAAGAAGCUUGGAUUAGAUGAGUCCAAGCUGCCAGAAAAAGUUAUAAUGGACUACUACGAGAAGUAUAAGCCUAGAAUGAACGAGCUGGAAGCUUUUAAUAUGUUGAAAGUUGUUCUGGCUCCUUGUAUAGAGACAUUGAUUCUUCUAGAUCGACUUUGCUACCUGAAGGAGCAGGAAGAUACUGCAUGGGCUGCACUUGUGAAGUUGUUUGAUCCUGUGAAAUCUCCCAGAUGUUAUGCUAUUAUUGCCCUGAAGAAGCAGCAAUGAUUUCAUUUGAAGCAAGCAGUGAAUACGUUCAGAACAUGCUGUGGAGAAAAGGAAGGAAAUGAAUACACUGAUCCUCCAUGGGGAAAAUACUGCCUUUCCUCUGAGAGAAAAGAAUAAUGCCAGGAUGGGAGAGGACCUCGCUGCUCUAGACUGGGUCCCCGCGGCUGAAGUGCUAAAGAGAUCCAGGCUAUGAGCCUGCAUCUGAAUAUCAGAUACGGUAUCUUUACUGUUGGCCCAUGGUGUCUAAGUGCGUGAUCAUGCACCACCCACCAGUCUAGGAGUGAAGGAGACUGGCUACAGCCUUGGAGACACAUGAUGGAGAAGACACAGAGCCUGUGGAGGGCGCCCUGAAGAAGGCACAGGAAAUAGGGAGGGGCCCUUUCAAAAAGGGCUCCACUGGCCAAGGGCUCAGCACUUAACAGCUUCUGGGAGAGAAGAAGGACCUCAGAGAAAAUGCCUGUUAGACUGGUAUCCUCAUAUGCGUCAAUUCCUGUGGGAAGCAUUUGCUGAUACUCGGCCCACACCUCCACCACCAUCCAAGUGAAGGCUGAAAGUCUAUCACCAGCAGAAUGGAUAAAAUUAUUGUGAUAUAUUCAUACGAUGGAAUACUUCUUAGCAACAACAAGCAAUGAACUACACAUACGUGCAACAACAUGGAUGGAUUUCAAAAGCAUUACCCUAAGUGGCUAAGUGAAAUAAGACAGAUACAACAGAUUACAUUCUGUAUGGUUCCAUUUACAUAACAUUCUAGAAACGUCGAAACUGUAGAAACAGAAAACACAUUGAUGACUGGUUGCCAGGGGGCUGUGGAUAAAGGAAGGGAUUGUCUACAAAGGGGCAUACGGAACUUCCUGGGGUGAUGAAAAUGGCCCAUAUGUUUGUCAAAUUUAUUAAACAGUACACUUAAAAAUAGGGUCAAUAUUAUUGCAUAUAAAUAAUUGUACCUCAGUAAAACUUGACUUUUAAAAAAAUUCUAAAGUUUUAUCGGAGAGACAUUAUGAAUGAUAUUUUGUUACUAGACCUAAAUUGUCCUUUCAGAGAAUACAGCCUUAGAAUUUUCCCUCAAAAUGAAAGACAUUUGUGCAUAUUCUAUAGAGGGGAACAAAUAUGCAUUGGCUCAGUGUCUUGUUGAGUUUGUAUGCUAUUUGGAAAUUGGAUUGCUUUGACAAAUUACUUGCUAGCCAGGAAAAGCAUUAAAGGAUUAUUUGUCCACCACGAUUUCAAAUUUUCCCCUAAUGAUAAAAUCAUUUGAAAUAAAAGGUGACAGCCAAAGUAGUUUUACUCAGGGAGAUAUUAUUUCAUAUAUAGACAUGUAAGAAACAGUAUAAGCAAGAAGAGGAAAUAUAGUCUAAUUUUUAAAUUGUUACACUUACUUUAAGUAUUAUAAAUAACAGCAACAAACGAUUUCAGUCCUAAAUAGCACAUAUUUCAGAUUUCCUUAUAAAAGCUUCUCAACUUAAAGACUUGAAAUCACAUGUGAAUGUGGGUGUUUAAACUUCACUUUGCAAUUUGAAUCUUUACUUUUCAGGCCACUUUAAUGCCUAUUUUAAUGCUUAACUGUUUGAGGAUACUGUUGGAUUAUAUCGCUGUUUUUACCUGUUUGUGUGCUCUAAUGUUUUCCUACUGUGCUAUAGAAUAUUUUGCUUUAAUAGCAUUCUAUGUAUUUCAAGAACUUCUUUGUAAAUAAGUGAUGUGUCUUUCAAUAAAACAACUUGGGGAAGCCUUAAAAUCUUCAUAAAAGCAGUGUCCUUCAUUUACUUGUUAAUAGAACAUUAACAUUGUCUUAUCCAAAAUAAUUUUUUUCAUUCAUAGUUCAUAGAUUGAAGAACCAACUACCACUUACAUUUUAAAUGAGUUCCUGUGUAACUGCCAAAUUAAAUGAAUUAAUUUUUACCUUUGGGCCUUGUAUUGUCAUAAUAUUAGUUAUUGUUUUAAUGAAUUGUCAUAAUAUUAGUUAUUGUUUUAAUGAUAAUUUAUUUUAUUUUUUUUAUUCAAUUUUUUACCAGAAAGUCCAAACUAACUUCAGAUAUGUUUCAUUUUUUCCAAAGAUAUGUUUGAUCUCCAAGUAAGUGAUUACUGUGUUUACAUGAUGUCUAUUCUUUUGUAUAUCUAGAUCUGCUGCUAAUGCACUAGCUACUAGCCAUAUGGGCUUAUUUACAUUAGUUAAAAUGAAAUAAAAGUUCCAUUUCUCAGUCACUAGACAAAUUUCAUGUGGUCAAUAGCCAUAUGUGGUUUGUGUUUAUCCUAUUAGAGGGCACAGAUAUGUAAUACUUCAUCAUUGCCAUAGUUCUAUUGGAAAAGGGGGACUAAAUCAGGGUCAGGAAACUUUUUUCAUAAAGGGCUAAGUAGUAAUAUUUUAGAAUUUAUGGGCCAACAAACAAAACUAAGGUUGCUAUUUAGGUACUUAAAUUACCAUUUGAAAAAUAUAUCCACUUAAAGAUAUAAGAAAAAAAAAUCAACAUUCUUAACUUGAUGGAUGAAAAAAGGAGGCAACAGGCUGGAUUUGAGCCAUAGUUUGCCUACCCCUGGUGUAGAUCUUUCAGUCCUUGAUUCAUUUAAGCAUAUCUUUAUUGAGUACACCUAUGUUUUAGCCUCUGUGCUAAAUAUUAAGCAAAGUGUAGUGAACAAGAAAACAUAGUUCCAGACCUUAUGGAAUUCAGAAUAUAAUAGGAAAAGCUAACAAAAAUUGCACAAUCAAU